rnacentral:rRNA from 1 species
UACGUCGGGGGCAAGCGUUGUCCGGAAUCAUUGGGCGUAAAGCGCGUGUAGGCGGCCCGGUAAGUCCGCUGUGAAAGUCGGGGGCUCAACCCUCGAAUGCCGGUGGAUACUGUCGGGCUAGAGUGCGGAAGAGGCGAGUGGAAUUCCUGGUGUAGCGGUGAAAUGCGCAGAUAUCAGGAGGAACACCAAUUGCGAAGGCAGCUCGCUGGGACGUGACUGACGCUGAGACGCGAAAGCGUGGGGAGCAAACAGG